UUGGAGGGCAAGUCUGGUGCCAGCAGCCGCGGUAAUUCCAGCUCCAAUAGCGUAUAUUAAAGUUGUUGCAGUUAAAAAGCUCGUAGUUGAAUUUCGGGAUUCAUCCGUCGGUCGGGCUUAACUGUCCGUACUGGUGUGAUGGGUUCCUACCUUCUGAAUAACCGGCAUGCCAUUAAUUUGGUGCGCCGGGGAAGCAGGACUGUUACCUUGAAAAAAUUAGAGUGCUUAAAGCAGGCUAUCGCCUGAAUACAUUAGCAUGGAAUAAUGAAAUAGGACGGCAUGGUUCUAUUUUGUUGGUUUCUAGGAUCACCGUAAUGAUUAAUAGGGAUAGUUGGGGGCAUUAGUAUUCAAUUGUCAGAGGUGAAAUUCUUGGAUUUAUUGAAGACUAACUUCUGCGAAAGCAUUUGCCAAGGAUGUUUUCAUUAAUCAAGAACGAAAGUUAGGGGAUCGAAGACGAUCAGAUACCGUCGUAGUCUUAACCAUAAACUAUACCGACUAGGGAUCGGAG
rnacentral:rRNA from 1 species